rnacentral:rRNA from 1 species
AACGCGAAGAACCUUACCCAGGCUUGACAUGGUUAAGAUUGCGCAUGAAAGUGCGUUUCUCCGCAAGGAGCUUUUCCACAGGUGCUGCAUGGCUGUCGUCAGCUCGUGCUGUGAAGUGUUGGGUUAAGUCCCGCAACGAGCGCAACCUUUGUCUUUAGUUGCCAUCAGGUUAAGCUGGGCACUCUAGAGAGACUGCCGGUGAUAAACUGGAGGAAGGAGGAGACGACGUCAAGUCAGUAUGGCCCUUAUGCCUGGGGCUACACACGUGCUACAAUGGCCGUUACAAAGGGCUGCUAUACCGUAAGGUGGCGCAAAUCCCAAAAAGACGGCCUCAGUUCAGAUCGAGGGCUGCAACUCGCCCUCGUGAAGUCGGAAUCGCUAGUAACGGUAGAUCAGCAUCGCUACCGUGAAUACGUUCCCGGGCCUUGUACACACCGCGAGC